rnacentral:tRNA from 1 species
GGGCCUGUAGCUCAGCCGGUAGAGCAGCGGCCUUUUAAGCCGUUGGUCGCAGGUUCGAUUCCUGCCAGGCUCA